UAGAUACCCCACUAUGCCUGGCCCUAAAUCUUGAUACUAAUAUACUCACGUAUCCGCCUGAGAACUACGAGCACAAACGCUUAAAACUCUAAGGACUUGGCGGUGCCCUAAACCCACCUAGAGGAGCCUGUUCUGUAAUCGAUAAUCCACGAUCCACCCAACCACCUCUUGCCAACACAGCCUACAUACCGCCGUCGCCAGCCCACCUAAAAUGAAAGAUCAAUAGUGAGCUCAAUAGUCCCCACUAACAAGACAGGUCAAGGUAUAGCCCAUGAGGUGGAAGAAAUGGGCUACAUUUUCUAACAUAGAACAGACGAAAAAGGGCGUGAAACUCGCCCUUGGAAGGAGGAUUUAGCAGUAAAGUAAGACCAUACUUCUCUUAAGCCUACUUAAAGACGGCCCUGGGGCACGUACACACCGCCG
rnacentral:rRNA from 1 species